rnacentral:rRNA from 1 species
AACGUAGGAGGCAAGCGUUAUCCGGAUUUACUGGGCGUAAAGGGCGUGCAGGUGGUGGUCUAAGUGGUGCGUGAAAGCGCUCGGCUCAACCGGGCGAGGGCGUGCCAAACUGGGUCACUAGAAACAGGCAGAGGAAAGUGGAAUUCGGGGUGUAGUGGUGAAAUGCGUAGAGAUCCCGAGGAACUCCUGUGGCGAAGGCGACUUCGUGGGCCUGCUUUGACACUCAGACGCGAAAGCAUGGGGAGCGAACGGG